GCAUGGUGUGAUUAACCUACUAACCCAGGGCUCGGCCAGGAUGCUGUGGCGUGUGACAAGGUGCCUGGCCUUUUGCCAACCAACUAACCCACUAACCAGGCCCGAGCAUGCCCUACUAACCCUUGCGCAGCCAGAUCCUACUAACU
rnacentral:lncRNA from 1 species